AUUUAAAAUCCUGGGGCGUGACAGUUCCUCUUUUAAUCCUCAAUCUGUCCUACACAAUCAUGUGACAGCAGAAGGGACUGAUUACUUAUUUAUCAUGCUGUAACUUAUUGUCAUUCUGCCUUCAUAUAACUUUUGUACUUCUAGAUCUGUGACUUGUUGCUUGUAACGUGACAUUUCCCCUUUAAACGUUGUUCAUAGUCCAUAGAAGACCACCGC